rnacentral:sRNA from 1 species
AUUACUAUCACACAUAAAAUGACAUCAGUGAUGAACUUUCAUCUAUAUUCAAGAGUGUUUAUUUCUCAAAACAGUGUAUCAAAUAAAAACAGACCUACAAUGUAUUGUUUAAUUUUAGAAUUUCCGUCUCGAGGUCCACAAAUUGUGCCCUCCUUUGCUAGACAUUGCCAUUGGCGAAUGUGGCUCUGGAGAACAGACCCGAGAACACAUUGUGUCCUACAGCUAGCCAGAAAGCCCUUUGAUCUUCCCAAGACACUCUUGAUAAAUAGAAAACUACGACUUCAUUGCAAUGACUGGCCUUGAGGUAUGAUGACCUCAACAGAGAGAAUGAGAUUAAAGAGUUCACUGAUAAUGUUACUACAUUAAACCCCAUUAGAAGAUUUAGGAAUUAAAGAAAUAAAAGAAAUAUUGGAAAUAAAAAAUUUGAAUGCAUGUCAUGUUUUGUCAUCUGUAAACAAAUAAUUGAAUGUCACACGCGGAUUCUCUUUGAAACAGAAAAGAACAAAUGGAGAAAGUUGAAAUAAAAUACUGAAAUU